UGCGCCGGGGAGCCAUGCUCCCGCCGUUUGGGCUGCCCAAUUUUGGGGGGGUGUGGGGAUCGGCUUUAUUUCUUGGGGCAGGCAGGCAGCAAUCGCAUAAUUAAAACCUCACUGGGAUCCUUGAGUGAGGGUGGAAGCCAUGAAAAAAAAGAACCCAGGAGAUACGGGGGUUGGAACGGGUGUCCGAGCACUGGGGACCUGGGUGAGACCCCUGCAGAGGAGAGUAGGCCAUUAGAGAAAUGGGAAGGAUUGUGAAGAUUUUUGUGGGAACGUUUCUUGCAGAACAUAAGUUAUUAGGAAACAUUAAAAAUGUGGCCAAGACAGCUAACAAGGACCAUUUGGUUAUAGCCUACAACCAUCUUUUUGAAAGUAAGCGUUUCAAGGGUACUGAAAGUAUAAGUAAAGUGUCUGAGCAGGUGAAAAAUGUGAAGCUUAAUGAAGAUAAACCCAAAGAAACCAAGUCUGAAGAGACUCUGGAUGAGGGUCCACCAAAAUACAUAAAAUCUGUUCUUAAAAAAGGAGAUAAAACCAACUUUCCCCAAAAGGGAGAUGUUGUUCACUGCUGGUAUACAGGAACACUACAGGAUGGGACUGUUUUUGAUACUAAUAUUCAAACGAGUUCAAAGAAGAAGAAAAAUGCCAAGCCUUUAAGUUUUAAGGUUGGAAUAGGCAAAGUUAUCAGAGGAUGGGAUGAAGCACUCUUAACUACGAGUAAAGGAGAAAAGGUUUGACUAGAGGUUGAACCAGAACGGCCUUAUGGAAAGAAAGGACAGCCUGAUGCCAAAAUUCCACCAAAUGCAAAACUCAUUUUUGAAGUGGAGUUAGUGGAUAUUGACUGAAAUAGCAAUGCUUCGGAUAUAAAGACAUCAGCAACAAUAAAACAUGGCCUUGAAGAAACUUAUGUAACUAAUUAGAGCUGGUUACUAUUGU